UCCGCAUCCGGAUCACUCAUGGGAGGAAGGUGGCGUACAGUGUUAUUUGUGCUCUUCCAAGGAUCAAAGCAUCAGCUGGAAGACAAAGAGGAUGGCUAUAACAGCACUCCGGAUGACUGAGAAGAACAAGCAACAUUGAAAAGGAAAGCAAAUCAAGCCAGAAAUCAAAGUAUUUUCCAUUUCCCACUGAUUAGGGGCAAAAGGCAGUUCCUCUUCUUCCUCAGUGACUGGCUGCAGCUGCACGCUUUCCCCAGGCAAAGCCUCAGGACUCCUGCUGCAGCUGUGCUUCAGCCAAAUCCUUGUCAGACAACUGACUGGAGCCAUUGAUCAACUCCCCUCCAGAUGUGGCCGGGACUGGUUCAUCUUCCUCUGAACUGACAUCUGAAGAGUGAUCUGGGAAAGCAUCUGAAGGAGUCAUCACAGGCAGACAGUAAUACAGGCCUUGAACUG